rnacentral:rRNA from 1 species
CCACCUCCCACCCCCGAUCCCCACUCCCACAUCCCGCAUCCCACAACCGCCACGGCCCUCGCCGCCGGCGCGCAUCCCACCACCACCAUCUCCCACGGGCGUGCCAAGGUCCCUGCCGCAGGCGUGCGCGCCACCGCCACCACCUCCUACAGGAGCCAUGGUCCCUACCGCCGGUGCGCGCGCCACCGGUACCACCUCCCGCAGGCGCCAUGGUCCCUGCCGUCGGCGCCACGCCAUCGCCACCACCUCCCACAGCUGCCGCGGCCCCCAUCACUGGUGCGCCCCAUGCCGUCGGCGCCACGCCAUCGCCACCACCUCCCACAGCUGCCGCGGCCCCCAUCGCUGGUGCGCCCCCCGCCAUCUCCACCUCCCACAACCUCCAUGGCCCCGUCACCGGGGCGCGCCCUGCCACAACCACCGCCGUUGGACGCCGUCGCCAUGCCCCCCGCACGCCAGCGCCUCCGAGACCUCGUCCGACAUGACCCUUGCAUCCCUGAACUACCAAGCGCCGCCCAGCGCCCGGCUUCUUCCCCUGACCACCGCCGGCCUCCUGCCCCGGGAAAACCCCUUCUCUUCCUUCCGGGCGCAACGGCGAUCUCCUUUUCAGUUCAAAAUGAGCUCUAGCCGCUGUCCAAGUCGAUUCCCAUUCGUGGGACAAGUCCGACUACCUGUGGUACACGAUCUAGAGAUUGACCGGCGCGAGCAAUUCCUCAAGUCCGGCCAGUGGCUGCAGCUCACCAUCAACUCCGUCGGGCACUCGUUGUAGGUGUUCGUCAACGGCCAAUUCUUCGGUGCGGAACCUCCCUAGCGCAACGGCAGCCUCCUCCAUCAAAGUUGAGCACUGGGCGUCGUCCGAGUAGAGCUCCAGUUUCUGUACCAUGAAGAGGGGGAAUACCGACAGCUGGAAUUCUGGCUGGAAAAGGAGCAAACAUUGGAAACCUAUUCUGCACUGCUUCAAAAAUCCUAAAACUCCACGAAACG